GAUGAACGCUAGCGGCAGGCUUAACACAUGCAAGUCGAGGGGUAUAGUAGCAAUACUAGAGACCGGCGCACGGGUGCGUAACGCGUAUGCAAUCUACCUUUUGCAGAGGGAUAGCCCAGAGAAAUUUGGAUUAAUACCUCAUAGUAUUAUAGUAUGGCAUCAUAUUAUAAUUAAAGUCACAACGGCAAAAGAUGAGCAUGCGUCCCAUUAGUUAGUUGGUAAGGUAACGGCUUACCAAGACUACGAUGGGUAGGGGUCCUGAGAGGGAGAUCCCCCACACUGGUACUGAGACACGGACCAGACUCCUACGGGAGGCAGCAGUGAGGAAUAUUGGACAAUGGGCGCAAGCCUGAUCCAGCCAUGCCGCGUGCAGGAUGACGGUCCUAUGGAUUGUAAACUGCUUUUGCACAGGAAGAAACAACGCUACGUGUAGCGUCUUGACGGUACUGUGAGAAUAAGGAUCGGCUAACUCCGUGCCAG
rnacentral:rRNA from 1 species